UACGUAGGUGGCAAGCGUUGUCCGGAUUUACUGGGCGUAAAGAGCGCGCAGGCGGUCGUUCAAGUCGAGUGUGAAAGCCCCCGGCUCAACUGGGGAGGGUCACUCGAUACUGAUCGACUCGAAGGCAGGAGAGGGAAGCGGAAUUCCCGGUGUAGUGGUGAAAUGCGUAGAUAUCGGGAGGAACACCAGUGGCGAAGGCGGCUUUCUGGCCUGU
rnacentral:rRNA from 1 species